GGUCCAGGAAAGCGCCUCACUACAAGCGGUGCAGUCCUGUUUACAUUCCAGCAAGAGACGAUUCUCCUUUGUUCAAGGAGAUGCUCCAUGAUUCCAGAAUGCUUGUCAUUCAAUUACGGAGGUCCCUCUCGUACAUGCGAGUUGCUCAACGCAACGCCCAUAGCAUCAGGUCUUUCCUCUACGUCCAACCAGACUGACUGGGACGUUUUCACUUAUACAAAGCCCAAAAAGUGUCCUCAAGGUGGUGUUCCAGUAACCUAUGACAUUCCUCCAAACCAACAAGGACCGACUGUGGAGGGAUAUACCUGUACUGCAAACGCCUGG